rnacentral:rRNA from 1 species
GUACACACCGCCCGUCGCUCCUACCGAUUGAAUGAUCCGGUGAAGUUUUCGGAUUGCGGCUACUCCGGCGGUCCGCCGCCGAAGAAGCUGUGAGAAGUUCAUUAAACCUUAUCAUUUAGAGGAAGGAGAAGUCGUAACAAGGUUUCCGUAGGUGAACCUGCAGAAGGAUCA